CAGCAGCUGGUAUUGGGCACCUGGGAAGGACUGGAGGCCUAGUAGGGCUCAGAGCUGAACAAGAUGAAUUGGACCAUUAAUACUGAGCACUUAGUUCCUUCUGAUGUUUCAUCCCAGGUUCACAGAAUCUCUGAAUAAGAAGGAACCUAGUCCAAGCUGGGAUUCCCUCUGUUACAUCCCUAACAAUGACUAAAGCUUGAAGACCACUGGAGAUGAUGAAUGAAUGACAUACUGCUUUCGGAACCAUCCAUUCCACUUUUGGAUAGCUCUGAUUGGUGAGAAGUA